rnacentral:rRNA from 1 species
UACGUAGGCAGCAAGCGUUGUUCGGAGUUACUGGGCGUAAAGGGUGCGUAGGCGGUCCUAUAAGUAUGGUGUGAAAUCUCCCGGCUUAACUGGGAGGGUGCGCUAUAGACUGUGGGGCUAGAGUGUGGGAGAGGAAAGUGGAAUUCCUGGUGUAGCGGUGAAAUGCGUAGAUAUCAGGAGGAACACCGGUGGUGUAAACGGCUUUCUGGACCAUAACUGACGCUGAGGCACGAAAGCGUGGGUAGCAAACAGG